rnacentral:rRNA from 1 species
GACGAACGCUGGCGGCAGGCUUAACACAUGCAAGUCGAGCGGGGUGAUGGUGCUUGCACUAUCACUUAGCGGCGGACGGGUGAGUAAUGCUUAGGAAUCUGCCUAUUAGUGGGGGACAACAUCUCGAAAGGGAUGCUAAUACCGCAUACGUCCUACGGGAGAAAGCAGGGGAUCACUUGUGACCUUGCGCUAAUAGAUGAGCCUAAGUCGGAUUAGCUAGUUGGUGGGGUAAAGGCCUACCAAGGCGACGAUCUGUAGCGGGUCUGAGAGGAUGAUCGGCCACACAGGGACUGAGACACGGCCCAGACUCCUACGGGAGGCAGCAGUGGGGAAUAUUGGACAAUGGGGGGAACCCUGAUCCAGCCAUGCCGCGUGUGUGAAGAAGGCCUUAUGGUUGUAAAGCACUUUAAGCGAGGAGGAGGCUCUUUUGGUUAAUACCCAAGAUGAGUGGACGUUACUCGCAGAAUAAGCACCGGCUAACUCUGUGCCAGCCGCCGCAGUAA